CCUACGGGGAGCAGCAGUAGGGAAUCUUUCACAAUGGGCGAAAGCCUGAUGGAGCAACGCCGCGUGCAGGAUGAAGGCCUUCGGGUUGUAAACUGCUUUUAUAAGCGAGAAAUAUGAUGGUAACUUAUGAAUAAGGAUCGGCUAACUACGUGCCAGCAGCCGCGGUCAUACGUAGGAUCCGAGCAUUAUCCGGAGUGACUGGGUGUAAAGAGUUGCGUAGGUGGCAUAAUAAGUAGCUAGUGGAAUCUGGUGGCUCAACCAUUCAGACUAUUAGCUAAACUGUUAAGCUCGAGACCGUUAGGGGUAACUGGAAUUUCUAGUGUAGGAGUGAAAUCCGUAGAUAUUAGAAGGAACACCAAUAGCGUAGGCAGGUUGCUGGGACGGUUCUGACACUAAGGCACGAAAGCGUAGGGAGCAAACGGGAUUAGAUACCCGAGUAGUC
rnacentral:rRNA from 1 species